rnacentral:tRNA from 1 species
GUCUCGUUGGGGAAGUGCCCGCGGGCCUUGACCGCCCGCCGGAUCCGCGCGUUUACGGACUCGAUCGCGUUCGUGGUGCAGACGAUGCG